rnacentral:lncRNA from 1 species
GUAAAGUUAGUUUGCCAGCUGGAUAUUAGUUGGUUGUAGUUAGUUAGCUCCUUCACUCUCUAUUUAUACUGAAUACGUAUGUGCAAGUCUGUAACUUUGGAUAUUCAAUAAAGUUCAUUCUUCAAUCUUCUCUAAUACUCUAAUAUGGUAUCAGAGCAUAAUUGAGCUACAAUCUUUUUUUUUUACUCUCUAAAAUCACCUCCUUGUAAUUUUGAUCUACAAUGGAGCAAAAUCAAUAAGAGAAUGGUUCUGAUUCAAGGUCGGUUGUCAACAAACCUGCCAUUGAUGAACCUUCCAAUCCAUAUUUCUUACACCACUCCGAUAGCCCUGGGUUGGUAUUAGUAUCUCAGUAGCUCACGGGAGAAAAUUAUGCUUCCUGGAGCCGUGCAAUGACCAUUGCUUUGACAGUUAAAAAUAAACUCUCAUUCAUCGAUGGAUCCAUGAAGAAAUCGGAUGCUUCUGAUCCAGAUCUGGUAAACUCAUGGAUUAGGAACAAUAAUAUGGUGAUAUCAUGGAUCCUUAAUUCCAUUUCGAAGGACAUAUCAGCCAGCGUGAUCUAUGCCUCCAUAGCUCAUGAGAUCUGGAAUGAUCUUAAGGGAACGAUUUCAACAAAGUAAGGGACCUCGAAUUUUCCAAUUAACGAGAGAACUAAUGAAUCUGAUGCAAGAUCAAAGCACUGCAAGUAUAUUCUUCACUAAAUUCAAGACUAUAUGGGAAGAAUUGAGUAAUUUUCGACCUAAUUGUAGCUGUGGAAAAUGUGAUUGUGGAGGUGCUCAAGAGUUAAAUAAAUACUAUCAGAUUGAAUAUGUCAUGGCGUUCCUCAUGGGAUUACAUGAUUCUUUUUCACAAAUUAGAGGUCAAAUUCUUCUCAUGGAUCCUCUGCCUCCAGUUAACAAAGUCUUUGCAUUGGUAUCAGAAGAGGAAAAUCAAAGGAAAAUACGCACACUUUCAAUUGGUGCUGAUUCCAAUGGAGGAGCUGCCUUUGCAUUCAAAGCUGAUAAUGGCAGAGGAACACAAAAUUCUGGUUCCGAUAAUUCUGGUUCCUAUAAUGACGGUGCAAGAGUCAACAAUAAGAAGAAGGAGAGAUCAUAUUGCACACAUUGCAAAUAUCAUGGGCGCUCCAUUGAUAAAUGCUAUAAGAUUCAUGGUUUUUCCCCUAGUUUUAAAUCAAAGCCAAGAGACAAUUUCCAAAAUUUUUCUAUAUCUAAUGCUGUUAAUCAAAUUUCUGUCAAUUUACAGAUUGAGGAAAAGCCAAUACAUCAACAGGUUGCCCUUGAGAAAUUAAUGCAGAAUUUGAAUCCCAAUCAAUACCAACACUUGAUGAUGAUGUUGUCAACUCAUCUGGCCUCCAACUCACAAUCUAUUCCAAAUGAUCUGGACAAGAAUGAUUCCACAUAUACUGCAGGUAUAUAUCAGUCUGCCGUUAUUCCAACCUUCUCUUGCAAAAAUAUUUGGAUUGUGGACUCUGGGGCUUCGAGGCACGUAUGCUCUAUUGCUGCAGCAUUCAUAAAAUUGAGACCUAUUACUAAUUCACACAUCACUUUGCCUAAUCACACACAAAUAUCUGUCAGUCUAUGUGGUGAUGUCAGAUUAGGACCCAAUUUGAUGCUACGUGAUGUGCUUUUUGUUCCACAAUUCAAGUUCAAUCUACUGUCAGUGAGUUCUUUAACUGCUGGAACAAAUCUUAGUUUGAAUUUCUUCCAUGAUCAGUUCAUCAUCCAGGAAGCUUUGACUAGGAAGAUGAUUGGCAAGGAAAGCAUUAUUCAAGGCCUAUAUAUACUAGACGCCAAAGAUUUUAAUUCUGUUUCUGAUGCAUUUAUUGGUUCUGUUUCUGCCCGUGUGUGACACAAUAGACUUGGGCAUCUAUCUUUCAAAAGGCUAGAUGUAUUAAAAGAUCACUUGAUGUAUGAUACUAGAAUAUUGAAUAAGCAUUUACCUUGUUACAUAUGUCCCCUAGCUAAACAAAGGAGAUUAUCCUUUGAAUCACACAAUCAUCUUUCGAAUCAGCCCUUUAAUCUCAUACAUUGUGAUAUAUGGGGCCCCUAUCAUGUGACAUCUCACUUUGGUUAUAGAUAUUUUAUGACUCUAGUAGAUGAUCACUCUAGAUUCACGUGGCUUUACAUGUUAAGACAAAAAUUUGAUACUGUAGGAGCUGUACACAGAUUCUUCAACUUGGUUGCCACACAAUUUCAUGCUGUCAUUAAAUCCUUUAGAUCAGAUAAUGCCGGUGAGUUAUCAUUCAAAGAUUUCUUUGCCAAAAGGGGAGUUAUUCAUCAGUUUAGUUGUGUUGAGCGACCACAACAGAACUCAGUUGUUGAACGCAAGCCACAUUCCAGCACCUUCUGAAUGUGGCUUGCACCCUUUUCUUCGAAUCCAGAGUUCCAAUUAAUUUCUGGUCAGAAUGUGUUCUAACUGCGACAUACUUAAUCAAUAGAACACCAGCUCCCAUCUUACAUCACAAAACCCCAUUUGAAGUACUACAUGGCAGGAAAGCGGACUACUCUUGCAUGAGAGUUUUUGGUUGUUUGGGGUUUGCAUCUACACUUAAUGCCCACAGGACCAAGUUUCAGCCAAGAGCUAGAAUGUGUGUCUUCUUGGGCUAUCCAUCAGGUAUCAAAGGUUUCAAACUUCUUGAAGUAUCUUCAAAGUAGAUCUUUAUCUCUAGGGAUGUCAUGUUCCACGAAGAUAUAUUUCCCUUUCAUACUAUCAAGAGUAAUGAUGAAGUACUGGACCCUUUCCCUGAUUUGGUUUUACCCUCAUCUUCACUAUCUGUUCCACAUGAUGUUCAUGUGGACCAUAAUCCCACUUCUUCUCCAGUUUAUAUCCCAAGUUCACAAUCCAUUCCUGAACAUCCUGAGUCAAAUAUACCUCAUGCCACCUUUAGUUAUAGACCCCAUAGAGUCUCUAGACCUCCAUCAUAUCUAUAAGACUUCCAUUGCAAUUUGCUUUCAUCCAAUUCGCCACAUUCCAAAACUUCUCGUUACCAUAUUGGCCAAUAUCUCUCUUAUAAUAAAUUGUCCACUCCCUAUCGACAAUUCAUAUUAAUAUUUCCUCUCAACAUAAACCUCAAUACUUUCAUCAAGCAGUAAAAUACUCUCAUUGGCAUGAUGCCAUGAAGCUCGAACUGGAAGCCAUGGAACUCAAUCAAACUUGGUCUCUUGUUCUCUUACCGGCUGGAAAGCACACAGUAGGUUGCAAAUGGGUCUUCAAAAACAAAGAUAAUUCUGAUGGCUCAUUGGAAAGACAUAAAGCACGCCUUGUCGCUAAGGGGUUUACACAACAAGAGGGGUUGGAUUAUUUUGAUACACUCUCCAGUGGCCAAAACUAUUUCUGUCAAAGUCAUGCUUGCUUUUGCAGCCCGUAAUAAAUGGCACUUGGUCCAAUUAGAUGUAAAUAAUGCCUUCUUAAAUGGGGACUUGUUUGAGGAGGUUUGCAUGGAACCUCCCCUUGGCUAAAACCUUAUCAAACCUCUCAAACAGGGGGAGAAAUUGGUGUGUAAAUUGCACAAAUCAAUAUAUGGUCUCAAGCAAGCCUCGAGACAAUGGAAUUGCAAAUUUUCUCAUGCCCUUAUCUAGUAUGAUUUCAUCCAAUCCAAAGCAGAUUAUUCUCUCUUCACAAAGGGGCCAGGUGACAAAUUUGUAGCCUUAUUAGUAUACGUUGACGACAUAGUCAUUUCUGGUCCUAAUAUUCAAGUGAUUAGUGAGUUGAAGGAAUUUUUACAUUCUCAAUUCAAACUCAAAGACUUGGGAUGCUUAAAGUUCUUCUUGGGAAUCGAAUUGCCCGAGGAUCAACUAGAAUUACCAUCUCACAGAGAAAUUAUACACUGCAACUGAUAGAAGAUGCAGGAUAUUUGAAUUGCAAGCCUGCCAACAGUCCUAUGGUCACAAAGAUUAAUCUCAGUGCACAUGAUGGAAACGUUCUAUCAAACGCAUCUCAUUAUCGAAAAUUGAUUGGAAGACUGAUAUAUUUGACUCUUACUAGGCCAUACAUCACGUUCACGGUACACAAAUUAAGUUAAUAUAUGUCUCAGCCAAGGCUAUCCCAUCUCAAGCAGUACAUCAUCUUCUUCACUAUUUGAAAGGGAGUCCUGGUCAAGGUCUUCAUUUCCCUUCUUACUUACCAUCAGACUCUGAAUCCACCAUCAAGAUUUGAGCUUUCUCUGAUGCUGACUGGGGAUCAUGCAUUGAUACAAGAAAGUCCACUACAGGUUUCUGCAUCUUCAUUGGCAAGUUAUUAGUUUCUUGGAAGUCUAAAUGCCAAACCACCAUCUCUCGCUCCUCAGCUGAAGCAGAAUAUAGGGCUCUUGGAGCCACCGUUAGUGAAGUAAUCUGGAUCAAGCAGUUGCCGAUGGAUUUUCAGGUUGUUUGCACCACUCCAGCAGUAAUAUAUUGCGAUAAUCUUGCUGCAAUACAGAUUGCAAAUAACCCAAUUUUCCACGAACGGACGAAACAUAUUGAGAUCGAUUGCCACUUCAUUCGUGACAAGAUCACAUCUGGAGCAAUCAAACUACUUCCAGUCAGAUCACAACACCAACUGGCUGAUGCAUUCACUAAGGCAUUACCUGCUUCCACACUUUCUUUCUUAAUGAACAAGAUGUGCGUAAAGAACAUUUACAGCACAACUUGAGGGGGAGUAUUACGAUUUGUAUAUUGUAUAGCAAGUUAGUUAAGUAGUCAGUUAGGAAGCUGGAUUAUUCCAUGCCAACUGUAAAGUUAGUUUGCCAGCUGGAUAUGAGUUGGUUGUAGUUAGUUAGUUCCUUCACUCUCUAUUUAUACUGAAUACGUAUGUGCAAGUCUGUAACUUUGGAUAUUCAAUAAAGUUCAUUCUUCAAUCUUCUCUAAAACUCUAAUAGUUCGCUUCUAGGAAUUUUCACACAAAAAUAGGCAUUCUGAAAUUUGAUUACUGUUUCGCAAAUCAUCAAUUCAAGGCGAAAAAAAAAAUGAUUUCAAGCAUCAGGAACGAUCUCAAAAUCGCAAACAGAAAUUUUGAGAGAAGCAGCCUCCUUUUUUUUUUUUUUUUUUUUUUUUGUUAAUAUAAAUUGCAUUCCAAUCUAUCUUCCUACUUAAUGUGUAAC